AACGAACGCUGGCGGCAGGCUUAAUACAUGCAAGUCGAACGCUCCAGCAAUGGAGAGUGGCAGACGGGUGAGUAACGCGUGGGAAUCUACCCAAUACUACGGAAUAGCUCCGGGAAACUGGAAUUAAUACCGUAUGUGCUCUACGGGGGAAAGAUUUAUCGGUAUUGGAUGAGCCCGCGUUGGAUUAGCUAGUUGGUGGGGUAAUGGCCUACCAAGGCGACGAUCCAUAGCUGGUCUGAGAGGAUGAUCAGCCACACUGGGACUGAGACACGGCCCAGACUCCUACGGGAGGCAGCAGUAGGGAAUAUUGGACAAUGGGCGAAAGCCUGAUCCAGCCAUGCCGCGUGAGUGAUGAAGGCCUUAGGGUUGUAAAGCUCUUUCAGUGGGGAAGAUAAUGACGGUACCCACAGAAGAAGCCCCGGCUAACUUCGUGCCAGCCGCCGCAGUAA
rnacentral:rRNA from 1 species